GUCCACGCCCUAAACGAUGUCGACUGGUUGUUGGGGGUUUGACACUCUCAGUAACGAAGCUAACGCGUGAAGUCGACCGCCUGGGGAGUACGGCCGCAAGGUUAAAACUCAAAGGAAUUGACGGGGACCCGCACAAGCGGUGGAUUAUGUGGAUUAAUUCGAUGCAACGCGAAAAACCUUACCUACACUUGACAUGUCCUGAAGCCUGGAGAGAUCCGGGUGUGCCCGAAAGGGACGGAACACAGGUGCUGCAUGGCUGUCGU
rnacentral:rRNA from 1 species